rnacentral:rRNA from 1 species
GACGAACGCUGGCGGCGUGCUUAACACAUGCAAGUCGAACGGGAAGGCCCUGCUUUUGUGGGGUGCUCGAGUGGCGAACGGGUGAGUAACACGUGAGUAACCUGCCCUUGACUUUGGGAUAACUUCAGGAAACUGGGGCUAAUACCGGAUAGGAGCUCCUGCUGCAUGGUGGGGGUUGGAAAGUUUCGGCGGUUGGGGAUGGACUCGCGGCGUAUCAGCUUGUUGGUGGGGUAGUGGCUUACCAAGGCUUUGACGGGUAGCCGGCCUGAGAGGGUGACCGGCCACAUUGGGCCUGAGAUGCGGCCCAGACUCCAACGGGAGGCAGCAGUGGGGAAUAUUGUACAAUGGGCGGAAGCCUGGUGCAGCAACGCCGCGUGCGGGAUGACGGCCUUCGGGUUGUAAACCACUUUCGCCUGUGACGAAGCGUGAGUGACGGUAAUGGGUAAAGAAGCACCGGCUAACUACGUG